UAGAGACAUCCGGGUUUGAACCGUAGACCUUCCGUUCUUCAGUCGAAUGCUCAACCACUGAGCUAUAAC